ensembl:lncRNA
GUUGACCCUCGGGACCCACAGUCUCAUCGUGUCUCGCACAGAAUUCAGCAGAGGGCACAGGUGGUGGCUUGGCCGGUUGGUGAUCUCCUGACAGCCGGGUCUCCAGCAAUGUGAAGCUUUCAUUUGGGUUUUCCCCCUCCUCUUACUUUUGCUUUAUUUUUUUGUCCCCCCCCCCUUUUUUUUUUAAUUUAAACGAUUAAGACUUCAGAAGAGCAGGAAGUUAUGCUGUGGACAGGCACCACUUUCUUUAAAGAAACUCAAUAUGGACAAAGCAUAUGUAUAAAUUUCACUUUUAAUUUUUAUAAGGGGUUAGGGAGGUAUUUUGUUUUUGUCCUUUAUUUUCCCUGUCUUAUUUCUUUUACCCAUCUCUUAGUUCUGCUUAUAACACCUCACUUCCCCAGAGAAGGCCUACCCCUCCGUGGAGAAUUUGGGGACCUCUCCUGGAUCAGGGGGCAUAAGGACAGAAGGAGGCCUCUGUGCCGCCUCCCCACCAGGUCCAGGAACUGCUGGACCCCCUGGUGGGCUGCUCCUGGUUGGCCCUUGGGCCUUGGAGAUGAUCAGAGGCUAAGAACCACCUAGGAGGGGAAGACCCGAGCUUGGCCAGGAGAACUCAAGAAAGAAGAUCCCUCUUUGGAGUUUGUCUUCUUUAAGCGGUUGGAAAUCCAGAGUCACACCAGGACUUACUACUGCCCUUCAUAACCAGGGGGUUCUGACGGGGGAGGGCCAGAAGGUGACCAUUGCUUACUCCCCGGUAACUGAGCUGCCAGCCCACCCCAGCUCUACAAGCCUACCUUUCUGUCAGUGAUCUUCCUCCCAGACGAUGAUUCCCUGGGAAAAAAUGUCGUGCCAAACCUCUGCCUAGGAUACAGCAGGGUCUUCAGCGGGCAUCUGUCACUCCUCUGAAGUCAGCACCUACCACCUCCUGCCUCCAGGAUCAUCAUCUACCCUGAUGUGGCCGCCAGAUGCCCAGGGUGUCAGAGCCCCCUGCGACCCAGUUGUGAGCAUUGCCAAGCUGGUAAUCUAGGACCUACGUGUGAACAACUUUAUAUAUGAAUAUUUUUUGUACUUGGUUUACUUGGGUUGGUAUGAUACAUUAUAUUUAAGUUCCUUGAACACUGUGGAUCCCCCUAAUGUGUAUGAAUGACUGAGGCUUUGUAAAUUAAGGGACGUUUGUGUGAAUAAAGUUAUUUGAUGGGGUCAAAGAAGCCAUA